rnacentral:misc_RNA from 1 species
AACGCAUAUUGCACCUCUCCGGAGGUAUGCCUGUUUGAGAAUCUAUAGUAUCUUUUCCCCAGUUUUGGGGGAGAUUUGGGGCGUCUCUUUUGGGUGCCCUUAAAGCUAUAGCUUGACACUGGACGAGUGCGAGAGCGUAUGUAUUUGAAACUCUUUGAGUGCCCUAUACGAAACUCUGGCGCGAGCUCGGACUGGGCCAAGUUCACCACGGAGGUUUGAAAAAGAACCCGAACCAUGGUCUCAAAUCAGGUAGGAGGACCCGCUGAACUUAA